CCUACGGGUGGCAGCAGUCGGGAAUAUUGCGCAAUGGAGGAAACUCUGACGCAGUGACGCCGCGUAUAGGAAGAAGGUCUUCGGAUUGUAAACCAUUGUCGUUAGGGAAGAAAAAGGACAGUACCUAAGGAGGAAGCUCCGGCUAACUACGUGCCAGCAGCCGCGGUAAUACGUAGGGAGCAAGCGUUAUCCGGAUUUAUUGGGUUUAAAGGGUGCGCAGGCGGAAGAUCAAGUCAGCGGUAAAAUUGAGAGGCUCAACCUCUUCGAGCCGUUGAAACUGGUUUUCUUGAGUGAGCGAGAAGUAUGCGGAAUGCGUGGUGUAGCGGUGAAAUGCAUAGAUAUCACGCAGAACUCCGAUUGCGAAGGCAGCAUACCGGCGCUCAACUGACGCUCAUGCACGAAAGUGUGGGGAUCGAACAGGAUUAGAUACCCUUGUAGUC
rnacentral:rRNA from 1 species